GUUUGCUUAGAGUUGUGAUUACAAAAGACAUUUGCUGGUAGCUACCUUCCUAUUGGUUAGGUCAAGGUUAAAUCGAUCCACUAAUAACAUCGUGGGCACUUGUCUCUUGCUGACGGUUGAGGAUUCCGGAUUCUAGCACAUUCUAUACAUGUGUACCUAUCUAAUUUGCAAGGUUGAUAUCAAUAAAUCAAUUCAUAAGCAUUUGGUGUGUAAUGUGUUUGCGUUAAUUUUUGAGGUUACACUUAAAGAUCCAGAUUGCUGCAUCGGGCCAAAGAAGAGGGUCAGUCUCUACUACUCAGACAUCUCGUGUGACCCUUGAAGAUAUCAAACUCAAAUUCAUUGACAUGGCCACCUCCAGAUUGCAGAGGAGAAACAGAAAUUAUGUGGACGCCUUAAAGCAUAAUGGAAGAUACCUUGAAAUCUUGUAUUCACCUCUUAUUUU
rnacentral:lncRNA from 1 species